rnacentral:lncRNA from 1 species
UCAUCUAUAAGAAUUAUCAAAAAGAAUGCCAUCUUAAUUUUUAUAGCUUAUGCAAUUUGCAUUGCAAAGGUAUGCAUUUUCAUGGGCAAUUAUAGAGGGUAAUAAUAAGAAAUGGAAACUUUUUUGAUCAAUAAGGGAAAUGUAUAAAGUCAUAUUGUAAGUUUAUCAUAAUCUUUUUUAAUAAAUAUGCUUGAUUUCCAAGUUGAAAAUGUGUUAUAAUAGCUUGGGUGGAAAGAUAAUUAAUCUAGUUAAGGCAUAAAAGCCUUACUAGAUGAAACCCAAAUUUUAUUUGCACUGUUACUUUAUAUAGUUGGAAAUAUUAUUGAGAAAAAGCUGUUUUCCCGUCCUCUAUUUUGUAGUAUCAAACUGCAUCCUAGCAGUCAACUACAGAAUAGCAAAUGCUUUCCAAUAGGUUCUAUUAAAAAGGUUUCCAACAGGUUUAAUUAUCCUGCAGAUGUAGGUGUACAAUAGUGAUAUCAAUUGAAAUGCAUACAUUUUAAAGUUAUUUUAUGGUAGAAAAUUCUCAGUAGGCAGAGAGAACUAUAUCUGAAUCUAAGCAACUUACAGAAUCCUAAAAUAAUAGAUGCUAACAAAUGUCAUUCUCAAGCAUGAAUUUCUGUGGUGUGUGUCAAAUCCAAAGAAAUGUAAGAUCACACCAUAAUCCUUAAGUUUUUUUUUCUCUUUGAAAAUAAAUGCAAAUAG